AUUAUUGGAGAGACACAUAAGGCUUCGACAAUGAAGAAGAAAGAGAGAGAGAUGUACCACCGGUGGAGGCGGAGAAAAUGGGAAAGAAGAAAAUGGAGUCGCAUAUAUGGUUUAAUGCAGUUUUGUCACCUUCAAAUGGCACCAUCAGAUCCCUCUCUCAUCUUCAUUUUCUCCUUAUCACUCCACCAUUUUCGUCACAAUAAUGCUCAAAAAGUUCAAAGAUCAUUCUCUCGCCAUAACAUGCUUAUCGGUGGUGCAAAAACUCGGGUUUUCACUCUAUUUUCGAUUCCCUUUCAUUUGAUGGUGAUAAACAAACCCUCUUGGAACAAAGAAACUCAUCACCGAGACUUAAAAGCGAUUUUAAGAUCACGAGGAGUACGUGUAGCAUAUCUAGACGACGACGAACACUUGAGAGAGGCAGCAUCAUGUACGGAUUUGAUUUGUGCUAAUUUUUGAAAACGAUGUUUUCCUUUGCGUUAUAUUUUAAGAUUGGACGUGUGGUAAUUAAAGGUUGUAUUAAACUAUUCCGAUGCAUGUUCAUAAAAUAAAAGUUUUAAAAUUUCUGUAUUUUUGUUUGGUAUUAUUUUGAUGGUUUUAGUCCAUGUAUCAGAGCAACGUUCCUUCCACGGGAAAGAACGACUCAUUAUCUUAAGGUUUUACAAUGAAAAAAAUAUCUUUCAAAACCACGUCCAAGAAUUUUUUUUUUUUUUAAGAAAACCGUACGUAAGUGAUGCAAGCUGAUGUCGCAAGAUGCCUAGUGGAGUGGACAUGGCGCAUUGGGAAUGAUGCCGUUAUAUACCAAAAAUGGGAGGUAACCGUGGGACAUUGCCAACAGAAGGCAUGCACUAACUCGCCUCAAAGGAGAGGUCGAGAGCAAAGGGGGGAGGACCUAAAAUGUUUGCAGACUUAUCGACGUUAGUAGAUGACCCCUCUAUACAAGUGUUAAUAGUUGCAAAGUUGGCUAGGAAGGUAUUGAGUUGUUUCUUAUCAAACCACUACCCUUAACAAAAUGAAGUGAUUUCUUAUAAACCUCAAAUUGCCAACAAGAGAAAGUUAACGCUAUCCUCAAAAGCUGUAGUCAAAUACACUACUUAGGAGAACAACCGAACAGAACGAUGGGUAGGGACCCAUAUGCUCUGGGUUUUUCCCUAAAAAGCGAUAAUGUAGUAUGCAAGGAAUAAAUUAGAAGGAAAGGAUUAGGCAAAGACAACCGGAGAUCGAUGCGUGAAUGGAUCAAAUCAUGAGUAAUGAAAGGAAAUGAUACAUCAAUGAAUAAAAACAUGUUUAGACUAGAGUAAAUAUUGUGAUGGUAAAUACACCAUACGGACUCACAAUUGUACUUGUGGUCCUCACGUAAAUAGGGAAACCUGUAUCUAUACAUUUUAAAAUAUUGAGUUCAUCAUUAUGGAUCACGUUCUCAUGUACUCAUUGUAAUACCCCAAAACCCGAUUGGGAUAUUUAAUUAUUUUUUGAAAAUAAAUAAUUAAAUGGAGGUGUCACGAAAUCACCAAAAAUGAGUAGUACAGUGCCUGGAGCAGAUACGAGGAUCGCCACGUGCGGAAAGAUCGAGAAAAUGAACAAAAUUGGAGAAAACUGAGUUGGUCCGCUGGACCAAGUUUGGUCAGC